rnacentral:lncRNA from 1 species
CCCCCGCUAACCACUGACCCCCGCUAACCACUGACCUCCGCUAACCGCUGACCCCCGCUAACCACUGACCUCCGCUGACUGCUGACCCCCGCUAACCACUGACCUCCGCUAACCGCUGACCACCGCUAACCACUGAUCUCCACUAACCACUGUUCUCCGGUAACCGCUGACCCCCGCUAACCGCUGAUCCCCGCUAACCACUGACCUCCGCAGACCGCUGACCACCGCUAACCACUGACCUCCGCUGACCGCUGACCACCGCUAACCGCUGACCACCGCUAACCGCUGACCUCCGCUAACCGCUGACCCCCGCUAACCACUGACCUCCGCUGACCGCUAACCACUGACACCUGCUAACCGCUGACCACCGCUAACCACCGCUAACCACUGACCUCCGCUGACCGCCGACCACCGCUAACCACUGACCCCUGCUAACCACUGACCUCCGCUGACCGCUAACCACUGACACCUGCUAACCGCUGACCACCGCUAACCACUGACCUCCGCUGACCGCUGACCACCGCUAACCACUGACCACCACUAACCGCAUGGGAUGGUCCAAAACCUUCUGACCACAGCUGGUACUGGUCCAACUGGUACUGGUCCAAAUGGUACUGGUCCAAAUGGUCAGAUACUGGUCCAACUGGUACUGGUCCAACAGGUACUGGUCCAAAUGGUACUGGUCCAACUACUACUGGUCCAAAUGGUCAGAUACUGGUCCAACUGGUACUGGUCCAACUGGUACUGGUCCAUACAGAACAGAGUCCUUCAGGGAGGAUCCACAGUCCUCCUCUUGUUGUCUGGUCCACAGGCUGCUAACCGCUACUAGACGGAACGCACUGGAUGGAUCUACAUGGAGUAGACCAUGGUCCAACAGUGGAAGGGCUGAUGGAGUAAACCAUGGUCAAACAGUGGAAGGGCUGAGAGAUGGAGUAGAAGGUGGAAGGGAAGGGCUGAGAGAUGGAGUAAACCAUGGUCAAACAGUGGAAGGGCUGAGAGAUGGAGUAAACCAUGGUCAAACAGUGGAAGGGGCUGAUGGAGUAAACCAUGGUCAAACAGUGGAAGGGCUGAUGGAGUAAACCAUGGUCCAACAGUGGAAGGGCUGAUGGAGUAAACCAUGGUCCAACAGUGGAAGGGCUGAUGGAGUAAACCAUGGUCAAACAGUGGAAGGGCUGAUGGAGUAGACCAUGGUCAAACAGUGGAAGGGCUGAGAGAUGGAGUAGAAGGUGGAAGGGAAGGGCUGAGAGAUGGAAUAAACCAUGGUCAAACAGUGGAAGGGCUGAUGGAGUAGACCAUGGUCAAACAGUGGAGUGGCUGAUGGAGUAGACCAUGGUCAAACAGUGGAAGGGCUGAGAGAUGGAGUAAACCAUGGUCAAACAGUGGAAGGACUGAUGGAAUAAACCAUGGUCAAACAGUGGAAGGGCUCAGAGAGGAACAAUACAUUCCUGUGGGACGAUUCUGUCACCUUCAGGUUAAACUGUACUGUAUGUUUCAUCUAGUCUGAAGUUUGGACACUGGGUGGUUCUACACUGAGUGGACAAAACAUUAGGAACACUUCCCUAACACCCUCAGAACAGCCUCACUUCGUCGUGGCGUGGACUCUACAAGGUGUUGAAAGCUUUCCAACAAGGAUGUUGGUCCAUGUUGACUCCAAUGCUUCCUACAGUUGUGUCAAGUUGGCUGUCCUUCGGUUGGUGGAACAUUCUUCAUACACACGGGAAACUAUUGAGCGUGAAAAAUCCAGCAGCGUUGCAGUUCUUGACACAAAACGGUGCACCUGGCACCUACUACCAUACCCCGUUUUAUUCAGUGUAUAACAGAGGUAACAUUACAUUAACACUACUGUAAUUCUGUAACUACUGUAAUUACUAUUACAUUUACACUACUGUAAUUCUGUAACUACUGUAAUUACUAUUACAUUUACACUACUGUAAUUCUGUAACUACUGUAAUUACUAUUACAUUAACACUAUUGUAAUUCUGUAACUACUGUAAUUACUAUUACAUUAACACUACUGUAAUUCUGUAACUACUGUAAUUACCAUUACAUUAAAAGUACUGUAAUUCUGUAACUACUGUAAUUACUAUUACAUUAACACUACUGUAAUUCUGUAACUACUGUAAUUACCAUUACAUUUACACUACUGUAAUUCUGUAACUACUGUAAUUAUUAUUACAUUAACACUACUGUAGUUCUGUAAUUACUGUAAUUACCAUUACAUUAACAGUUUUUGAGAUGAGAUGUGUGUUCAAAAUGGCCCCCUAUGGUCCCUGGUAGAAAGUAGUGCACUAUAUAGGGAAUAGGGUUCCAUAGGGUUCUGGUCUAAAGUAGUGCACUAUGUAGGGAAUAGGGUUCCAUAGGGCUCUGAUCUAAAGUAGUGCACUAAUAGGGUAUAGGGUGCCAUUUGGGAUGAGAUGAGGUUUGUCCUCAGAGCACUGCUUUGGAGUUGGGAUUAUUCUCCCGUUCUGUCAGAGCCAGAGACAUAUGAAUGAUUUAACAUCCUUUACUCUGACACACACACACACACUGACGCACACACACACACACACACACACACACACACAUAUAUAUACACAUACACACACAACACACACACGUACACAGACAACAC